GACGAACGCUGGCGGCGUGCUUAACACAUGCAAGUCGAACGGAAAGGCCCUGCUUUUGUGGGGUGCUCGAGUGGCGAACGGGUGAGUAACACGUGAGUAACCUGCCCUUGACUUUGGGAUAACUUCAGGAAACUGGGGCUAAUACCGGAUAGGAGCUCCUGCUGCAUGGUGGUGGUUGGAAAGUUUCGGCGGUUGGGGAUGGACUCGCGGCUUAUCAGCUUGUUGGUGUGGUAGUGGCUUACCAAGGCUUCGACGGGUAGCCGGCCUGAGAGGGUGACCGGCCACAUUGGGACUGAGAUACGGACCAGACUCGUACGGGAGGCAGCAGUGGGGAAUAUUGCACAAUGGGCGGACGCCUGAUGCAGCAACGCCGCGUGCGGGAUAACGGGCUUCGGGUUGUAAACAGAUUUGGCCGGUGACGAAGCGUGAGUGACGGUAAUGGGUAAAGAAGCAACGGCUAACUACGUG
rnacentral:rRNA from 1 species